rnacentral:lncRNA from 1 species
AAAACAUUUUAAGGUGGGUACAGAGGAGAGAGAGGUCCUCACCCUCGACCAAUCAGGUUUCAGGAAUCUGAGACUUCUAGAUGACGUGUCCCCGUGGAAUCCGGCGCGCUCCGUGAUAACAAGGGACGCAUUCCCGGAGGAGACGGCAUUAUCUACUUACUCUGAUCCGAGCUCGGCCGAGUCUAACUCGUCUUGAUCCAUGAGAUCGCUGAGAUCUUCUCCAGUACGCUGAUCCCCAGCGCCUCCACAGACAGCUUGUCCAGAACCAGGACCCUGCACCUGCUCAGCAGAGCUGCGUUCACCUGGAACAAAGGGUUCUCCGUGGUCGCCCCCAUCAGAGUCCCUGUCCCACACUCCAUAUGAGGGAGGAAGGUAUCCUACAUACAGACAGAAAACAAGAGACGGAGAGAUUUAAAAAAAGAGAGAGACAUGGGAGGAAAAGAAGUGCUGAGCAUCCAAAAAGUGACUCAAUAUGAAGGCUCAGACAAGAGGCCCAGCAGCCAUGAGAGACAGGCACCAGAGGUCCCCCUGCAGAGGACAGAGAAUGCCCACCAUGGUUGGGUGUCUCCCCCAGCCAAGGUGGCCAAGCUGAAGGUGGGCCGUCAGUGCACUGACAGCCAGAACAACAUAGCCAAGCUGGCGUUCUUCUACUACCCGGAGAGAGUGGAGACCAUGCGCUGCUUCUGGGAGCUGAAGCACAUCCAGCUGGAGGGAGGUUUUGAGGAGGACUGUUUUUUCCAAGUACCGGGGUAGCUGCAUUUAAGCCUGGCUCGGCGUUCCAAUUCAUUCCAAAUGUUUUGGGGAAGGCCCUUCCACACCGAUCUCAACAAACCAGUUAUCCACCUCGCUUUGUGCACGGGGCCAAUGUCAUGCUGAAAUAGGAAAGGGCCUUCUCCAAACUGUUGCCAUAAAGUUGUAAGCACAGAAUCAUCUAGAAUGUCAUUGUAUGCUAUAGCAUUAAGAUUUCCCAUCACUGGAACUAAGGGGCCUAGGCCGAACCAUGAAAAACAGCCUCAGACCAUCAUUCCACCUCCACACAGUUGGCACUAUGAAGCUCCCGACGAGCAGUUCUUGUGCUGACGUUGCUUCCAGAGGUAGUUUGGGACACGGUAGUGUUGCAACCAAGGGACAGAUGAUUUUACCUACGUGCUUCAGCACUCGGCAGUCCCGUUCUGUGAGCUUGUGAGGCCUACCACUUUGCAGCUGAGCCAUUGUUGCUCCUAGACGUUUCCACUUACAGUUGACCGGGGCAGCUCUAGCACUGCAGAACUUUGACGAACUGACUUGUUGAAAAGGUGGCAUCCUAUGACGGUUCCACGUUGAAAGUCACUGAGCUCUUCAGUAAGGUCAUUCUACUGCCAGUGUUUGUCUAUAGAGAUUGCAUGGCUGUGUGCUCGAUUUUAUACACCUGUCAGCAACAGGUGUGGCUGAAAUAGCAGAAUCCACUAAUUUGAAGGCAUGUCCACAUACUUUUGUAUAUAUGGUGUAUAUAUUU